rnacentral:lncRNA from 1 species
AAGUUGUUGAUGAUGGUGAUGAUGAUGGCUCCUCCAUGGCGUUUCUCAUCUUCUUCCAUUCUUCCUUUUCUUCCCUUAAUUUUCCCUUUCUCUUUUUCCUUUUUUCUUCCUCUUACUAAUAUCUCUCUUCCUCUCUUAUCUACUUUUCUUUCUUUUUUCUUUUCUUUUAUUCUUAUCCACUUAUUCUCCUUUCUUUUUCUGCCACACACACACACACACGCACUCACGCACG